rnacentral:rRNA from 1 species
CCCGACUGCUAUCGGAUUGGGAUUUAGCCAUGUUAGUUGAGCGUUCUUUGGCUACAAGGGACGCAGCGCACGGCUCAGUAACACGUAGUCAACCUGCCCUGGAGACGUGGAUAAACCCGGGAAACUGGGGCUAAUCCACGAUAGAUGACCUCAUCUGGAAGGAGAGAUCGUCCAAAAGGCGGCGCGAGUAUGCUUCGCGUCUUCCGCUCCAGGAUGGGACUGCGGCCGAUCAGGCUGUUGGCGGGGUAAUGGCCCACCAAACCUGUAACCGGUACGGGCUUUGAGAGAAGGAGCCCGGAGAUGGACACUGAGACAAGGGUCCAGGCCCUACGGGGCGCAUCAGGCGCGAAAACUUCGCAAUGCGCGAAAGCGUGACGAGGCUAGUCCGAGUGCCUUCCGCUGAGGGGGGCUUUUCNUCGGCUGUAAAUAUGUCCGGGGAAUAAGGGGAGGGCAAGUCUGGUGU